CAUACUCGCGUAGCAUUUUUAUCAAUCCCAAUAAACACAUUGCUGAUCUUGGAUGGCUCACUCGGAAGACAUGUGAUCCUGAUAUCACGAGUUUUAUUUUGACCCUGAGGACUCAUAAGGUAGUCUCUACUGAAGAAAGGAGGAAAAUGGGCCAAAAACCCAUCUGAUUUGAGCAAAGUAUUUGGCCGCCGUCCUGUUUUCCUGUUCAGCACAGACGCACAGACAGCCACUUUCACAGGCUUACUGGGGGUGGAAACCAUACCUUGAGGAUCUCCUCAAACCCACAACCUAGACAUACCUUCCAUAGAGGAAGCAGAGUUUGAGGACAUGAACGCAGACCACCAAGGCCGAGGUGUCUGAGCACCUCCACUGAAGACCUCCAGAAUUCUCCAGGGAGUGGCGAACCUCUCACACUGCUGUGUGGAUAAUGCAGCCAGGCUGAUGUACAGUGCAACACAUGGCAACAAAUGAUCACAUACCUUCACACGAAAGGCCAUUGGGUGCCACGGUGAAGCCAGGGUCACAGGCCAUGCAUGAGAAGGAGCCCUCUGUGUUGAUGCAGAUGCCCGUGGGACACAAACCUGGGGUCUGGCACUCGUUGAUAUCUGAGAGACACCGGAAGGAAAGUGGAAGAUGUCAUCUUGGCCAAAGAAUCCACAUUGUGUAAAUGCUAUAUCUUUGCUGUCUGCUAAUAUGAUUACGAAGCAGUGAGAUUCAGCCUAAGUGCGUAGCAUUAGGUGCCGUAAGUAAAGCAUUCUUAAUGUGAUUGCACUGACAGUGUUUUAUCAAAACAGACGAAACAAUAAGUAUGCAAGACGAUCAUUGACUGCAAAACCAGCUAGCUAUUACAGGUGGUGUGUAAUUUCUGGAUAAACAAACAGUGA